rnacentral:rRNA from 1 species
GAGUUUGAUCGUGGCUCAGAUUGAACGCUGGCGGCAUGCCUUACACAUGCAAGUCGAACGGCAGCAUGAUCUAGCUUGCUAGAUUGAUGGCGAGUGGCGAACGGGUGAGUAAUACAUCGAAACGUGCCCUGUAGUGGGGGAUAACUAGUCGAAAGAUUAGCUAAUACCGCAUACGACCUGAGGGUGAAAGUGGGGGACCGCAAGGCCUCAUGCUAUAGGAGCGGCCGAUGUCUGAUUAGCUAGUUGGUGGGGUAAGGCCCACCAAGGCGACGAUCAGUAGCUGGUCUGAGAGGACGAUCAGCCACACUGGGACUGAGACACGGCCCAGACUCCUACGGGAGGCAGCAGUGGGGAAUUUUGGACAAUGGGCGAAAGCCUGAUCCAGCAAUGCCGCGUGUGUGAAGAAGGCCUCGG